GUGACUGUUCCUGGUACUGGUUGCAUUUGUUAGCCAUCAGUGCAAUCAACGGCAGUCACACAUAUCAAAACAUAUGGUUCUUGCCGACAGGAUCUGUAUAGUUACCAGAUUUCCUGUGCGAUGGUUCCAUACAUG